UCGACAGAAAACAAAGGGGCUAGUACUUAUACUUCACAGGCUCUUUCAUAACAGCAAUUUUAAAAACAGAACAGGGGCACCGGUUCAACUAGAAAGCCCUAAAAACAUAAGUGCACAAAGCAUAGCAAAUUAGCUACAAAAUAUGUCGUCUGAAUUCGAGCAUUCAUACUUUGGAAUAAUCCCGCACAAGACGUCUCAGAGUGAUGCCUCAACGCCUACUCCCAGCCUUGGGCAGUGGGCUGGGCUGCUGAUUCCCAACCAGUAGGAGCGACCACUGGAGGAACAGUGCCAUCCACAGGAACAGGGGCCACAGUUUGAUCCCAGCCAUCACCGGUAGGAAUCGGAGCUGCAGCAGAGAAUGAGAAUCCUCAUGUUAUUACCACAAUGAAAUUGCAUAAGAGUGAUUGAGUUCAAAGUAAAAUGUCUAAGUUAUGCUUCUAGCAUAAGUACAAUAUUGUUGUCUAAACAAGACUCAUACCAAAGAUGAGAAAAUUCUAUAAGCAGUUUACAUGGUGCAGCACCCCAAUCAGCACUAGUAGGAGCAACAGGUGGUGCAGUGUCACACCCGGUUUUGGAAGGUAAACCGAAUGCGAACCAUGUACGUGCCAGGAUCAGAACUCACGUACAUAGCGAUUACAUAAGUGACUCAUCAUAGCACAAUGCUUCGAAUAACAAUAAAGAAUAAAUAAUGAUAUUAAAGACUAGAGUCAUUUACAUAAUAUAAAUCAAAGUACACAGAAUAGAAACGUAGCCAACGUAAAUCAACCCACCACAGGCAGCUGACUAGGGGAGGUCGCGUGGGGGUGGGGGGUUUGGCCAAUCGGAAAAAGAAAAGAGAUAGGGGCCUUUUCAGAAAUAGCAUACCAUGCACAGAAAAAGAUAGGGGCUUUUUCGGAAAUAGGCUCUCUUCCUCUUGGGUCGUCACCACCGGGCAGGGCACGAACUCGCGUGGGGGUGGGGGGUUUGGCCAAUCGGCCGACCGCCGCGCCACCGCACCUAGCCACGCCCCCAGGGUACGCGCCGGGGAGGGGCGGACGAGCGCCGCGCUAGGGCCAUGCCGUCGGGCUGGACCGGCUGCUGGGCGACAGGGCGCCAUGGCCAGCUUGCCAGGCUCGGCCGUGGCCAGCCGCCGCGCGCUGCGCAGGCUGGCCGUCGAGCCUUUUCCUUUUCUCUCCUAUUUUCUUUAUCUCCUCUUCUUUUCUAUUCUCUCUACCAAUUCAAAUCGAAUUCAUUAAUAAAUGCAAGCUCCACAGGAUCAUUCAUCAAACAAAAAAAUGCAAUAUGCUUCAACAUGAUGGAACAAUCAAACCACCUCCAGUGUUUUAUUUUACUAGGUUUAAACGUAUAUAAAACAAAAUAACUCUACACUAUUUAGGAACAAGAAAAGAAAAGCAAGGAAAAGAAAGGGUAACACCUGAAUUUGAUGGAUAUUAGAGAAAACAUUUUAUACCCCCAAAUUCAGGGUGUUACAAAUCUAACCCCCCUAACAGAAUCUCGCCCUCGAGAUUCUAGGAGAGGCCAGGAAGAAAACAAGAUUGGUUCAUCGAUUGUUUACAGCUUCUUCGGCUCAACUUUGACUCUGGCAACUGAAAGGGAAAAAUAGGCUUACACCUUUUCCUAAUUGAUUUUGGUGGUUGAAUUGCCCAACACAAAUAGUUGGACUAACUAGUUUGCUCUAGAUUAUGAGUUCUACAGGUGCCAAAGGUUCACAACAAACCAAUAAAAAGACCGAGAAAAGAUUCAAAGAUAGAGAGCUAAAAUCACCCGAAGUGUGUCCUGGUCUGGCGCACCGGACUGUCCGGUGUGCCACCGGAUAGUGUCCGGUGCACUAGGGACUCCAACUCUGAACUGCUCACCUUCGGGAAUUCUGGAGGUCGCUUCGCUAUAAUUCAUCGGAUUGUCCAGUGUAGCACCGGACAGUGUCCGGUGGCGCACCGGACUGUCCGGUGUGCCAGCGGAGCAACGACUACUUCGCGCCAACGGUCGUCUACAGAAGGCAUUAAAUGCGCUACAGUGCACGCCAGAGUCAGAGCAGUGCCAGAUGGUGCACCGGACAGUGAACAGUGCCUGUCUGGUGCACCACCGGACUGUCCGGUGGCCAUGGGUUGUUCCUAUGUUUGGAGAUAUUCUAUGUGACCUUUGCAGGAUGUUGGAGCUCAGAAAUGUCAAUCUAGAUCAAGUCAAGCUGACUUGAUGAUUUAUGAGUCCAACAUCAAAGCUCGAGCAUGUCAAAUGCUAUAGAAGUAAAAAUCAAAGAGAAGGUAUGGUUCUAGACUUAGUACAUUGGUUUUCGUGUACUAAUAUAUUUGUCUAAGUGUUAGAAACAGAAAGAAGAAGAAAAGAAAAGAAAUGCAAAAGGCUUGGAUGUGUACAGCCAAGUCUCAGCUCAGUCUGGCACACCGGACAGUGUCCGGCGGUGCACCGGACAGCGUCCGGUGCGCCAGGCUGAACUCCGGUGAACAGGCCGCUCUCGGGAGAAGUCUGGCGACGUAUGGCUAUAAUUCACCGGACUGUCCGGUGGUGCACCGGACUGUCCGGUGAGCCAACGGUCGGAUGGGCCAACGGUCGGCCGCGCAAUCCGCGCGUGACGUGUGGCCGAGCCAACGGUCACAUGGGGGCACCGGACUGUCCGGUGUGCACCGGACAGUGUCCGGUGCGCCAACGGCUCCAAGACUUCAACGGUCGACUGCGCCAAUUUUGGAAGGAAAUCGGGCACCGGACAGUGUCCGGUGGUGCACCGGACUGUCCGGUGCGCCACCCGACAGAAGACAAGAAUUGCCUUCCUGGAUUGCUCUCAACGGCUCCUAGGCCCCUUGGGUCUAUAAAAGGAAUUCCUAGGCGCCUCCAAUAGAGAUACAAGUGCAGCCAACAAGUGUAGACAUCACUCGGAUCAAUUCUCUCUCUCCCUCUCGUGUCUAUCUCUCUAGUUUGUGUAGAGGCAAAGCUAUAAGCCUUGAGAGAGUGGAGAAGUGCUGCUAAGAGCUAGAGCAAGGUCUUGAGCAUAUUGUUACUCUGCCGGAGUGCUGCCAAGAAGAUUGUAAGCAGCCGCGGUUUCGUUGUAACCAACUCAACAUAGUGAAAGGCUCUAUCUGUCAUACUGAUAGAUCUGAGCAUACGGAGGAAGGAGUUGAAACAUACUCCAAGCCCAGGUGUGGCUAACUCCAACGAGGACUAGGCAAGCAUUUUAGGCUUGGCCGAACCUUGGGAUAAAUCCUUGCGUCUGUGUGCUCUGUUCUGUAUUGUGUCCUGACUCUUUGUCUUACUUGCUUUUAUAUCUACACCUCAACACUUAUCUUUGGUACAAGUUACAUUUGAAGUGCAGGACAUUUUGAGACAGAAUCUUCUAUUCCGCUGCAACCUACUCGAAGGGUCUUCUCAUUCCACUGCGUUCUAGUCUUCGAGUAGAGUAAGAAUUUAAGUUUUAAAGUGAUAAUUUUGAUACGCCUAUUCACCCCCCCCCCCUCUAGGCGACAUCCAGAUCAUGUUCCCGAGCCAAAGGGAACUUUCAAUUGGUAUCAGAGCCAGGUUUCUCCAGUGUGGGCUUAGCCGUCCGGAGAUGACGAUGUCGUCACAAGAGGUAACUGUUGAACUUCUUCUAGGCGAUGGUUCUAACUAUAAAUCCUGGUCUGUCUCUAUUUAUAAUGCUUUCAUGAAUAUUGAUCCUGAUUUGAGACAGAUCUUUAGUAGAAGUAUUUUUUCCUCUAAUGUUAGUAAAAAUCCUUCUAAUGAUGAACUAAGAUGUCUAUCUCUCAAUCACCAUGCUUGCAACAUCUUAGUUGACUCUCUUUCUAGAGGUGCCUAUUUUGCCAUCAUGAGUAGUGAUAGUGACUUAUUUGUUGAUGCUCAUGAACUAUGGACCAAACUUAAGUUGAAAUUUUUUAAGUCCAUAUGCACUACCUCGGCUCCCUCUAUUGCUGGUGAUACUAACUUGUCCAAGGGAGAAGAACAAGAACGAUGGCAACCAAACGAUGAAUCCACCUCAUCAACAGGUUUGUCUUCCACUAGUAAUAAAUGUCUUAUUGCUAACAAUGAUGGUGGAGACAAAAGCAAUGAUGAGGGAGGAUAUGAGGAUGAGGAGUCUACAUCAUCACAAGGUACAUUUUCCUGUUUUGCUUCCACUGAUAAUAAUGACAGGGAAAAUGAGACCGACGAUGUGGAAGAAGAGGAGAUUCGCCGUUUCUACACCCAUCUCAACAAAGAAGACAAAGCGCUCUUGAUUAAGUUGUUGAAAAGGAACAAGGAACAAGGCGAGACGCUUCUCAGGCUAGAGGAGACUCUCAUCAAAACCAACGACAGCCUGGAGAAGAUGACCAAAGAACAUGAGGAGCUAAAGUACUCUCAUGGGAAUUUGGUCCAACGGUAUGAAUCUGUUUUAAUUGAGCAAAGAAAUAAUCAUGAUGUAUUAUCUAAUGUUGCUCAACUUAAAACUGAAAAUUCUAUGCUUAGGAGUCAAGUACAAAUGAUAAACUUAGAAAAACUUGCUCUAGGUGAAAAGUAUGAUAUGUUGUCAUAUUCUCAUAAUAAAUUAGUUGAUGACCAUAUCAUGCUUGAUGUUGCUCAUGAGGUCGUAAUUACGAACUUAAAUUCAUGUGAACCUCAUUCUUGCACAAGUACACAUUUGGAUAAUAUAUCACCAUGUGCUAACCCCUGUCGCUCAAAAGGAAGCGAGUGUUUUAAUGAGCAAAAAGUUGUAGGGUCACAAAAGAAAUUGUGUGGGAACAAGAAUCAAAGACAACUAAGGAGAAGACGCAUUGCUCAACCUUCUCAAGAUAUCCACGGGCGCGUGGUGAAGAAGCUUGAGAAGGGAAAAACUGCAGCAAGUGUUAAGCUCCAUAAGAAGGAUGUUCCUAAAGAUGAAGAAAUCAACAUGAGCUUGAAAAAGGGUAAAGAUUCAAUUAAUCAUGUUGUUUGCACUGACCAUUUCUCUAUGUCAUCCAAGAACAAAAAGAGAAAAGGGAAAAGGAGGUGCUUUAAGUGCAACAAGUCAGGACACCUCAUUACGUCGUGUCCAUACAACGACAAGGGUGAAGGGAUAAGGAGAUGCUUCGGAUGCAAUGACAAGAACCAUACGAUCACUUCUUGUCCGCUACUGAUGAACCAAGCACGUGCACUCUCCGGGAUGACCCCCACUAAGGAAAAUGACAAACAGCAAGCGUCAUGUCAGGUUGAGCGACGCUUCUGCUACAAGUGUGGCGAGCAGGGUCAUCUAUUCAAGGUAUGUAAUAAAGGUGAGGUUCCUAAACAAGUAAAGUUGUCUCAAUCUCAUUCGCUUAGGAGACCCAAAUCAUAUACUUGUGCUAGAUCUAUAACGAGAUCACCUAGAACUAGCACAAAGACUAUUUGGGUGCCAAAGGCACUUUUAGUUGAUCGUUAUGGACCCAUCCCGAGAUGGGUACCAAACUGUGCAAACUAGACCAUGCAGGUGCCUCGAGCUGGACUGGAGACCAUGGGAGAGCUUAAGAUGGUUAAUUCAAACUCUAUGCUUAAGCUGUUGAUUUUUAUUGUCUACUCAUUAACCCAAGGUUGAAUUAUUGUGCAACACUAAUCCCAUGUUCAUCUCAAGUGAAAUAAGUUGUAGAGGUUCUUAAUCAUUAUUAGUGAAUCAAGCAAAGGACCUUGAUGAGAUUCUGCAACUUGCUCUCCAAAGGAUGGUACCCUUGUAUCUUGAGUACAUUCUUGCAAAUAAGUAUUGCUCUUAAGUUGGAUUGUUGUGUUUACCUAUCCUUGGAGUAGUUAUGCUUUUGAUUGCCUGUGUUGAGUACCCUUCAAUCAAUGAUUAAUGAUUUCCAAGAUCGUAACCAUGCUUGCUUAAUCAUGAUUGUGUGCUUUAGAGGUUAUGUCUCUUGAAUCAUUUAAUGGGUAGUUUUUCAUUAGAUAUAUCCACCAUGAUCAACUCUUUUUGUGUUCGUGAAUAAACCUGUAUCCCUUUGUGAGUUAUGCUAUAUGGUUUUAAUGAUUAACCUAUGUGCAAGUAUGACAUUUUGUUUAGUCUAUGUUCACAUGAUUACUCUAGUCUGGUAUUGUGUGAAUCCAUGUUGUGCCUCUAAUGCACCUUUUUGAGCUAUAAGGUGCAUGAGUAAAAGGAGCCCUCAAUUGGUAACAACUGGUGCUCUCAUGGCAAUUCAGGAAAAGGCAAAGGUAUGGAGAAUGGAACUAUGCAAUUUCAUUGAAUAUCUUGAAGUUCCAUUGAUUGUAAUCACAUCUAUGUUCUUGCCUCUGAAUUGGUAGUAUCUUGGCUUAGGUGCUCCUUACUUUAAAAUGUUGUUUCUUUUGGUGUACCUAAGGAAUCUUCUUAAUCAUGGUGUACUUAGACAUUGCGCUUUAUAUGCAUGAUCUUGUCGUUUUCAAUUGGUAUAUGUGGUGCAAUGAUUAUCAUGUAUGAAGCAUGCCUAGGUUGCUUGUAAAAUGUUAUACUUCUUGAGGCAUGCAUUGUUGUAUUCAGUCAACCUUUCAUUUGGUAUUCAAUUGGUAUCUCUUUGUGAUGAAAUUGAUAAAGUAUGCCUUGACCAAGAUAUGUUGUGAUCCCCUCUAGUUCUGAGGAAGCUAGAAUGUGCAAAGUGCAAGUUAUUCAAAUACUUGAUGCACAAGUUUAGGGGGAGCACACAUAACUUGUGUCUUUUGAGACUAAUUGUUUCUUGAGUGAUCUUGUAUAGUCUCAAGGUGAAAAAGGGAAGAUGAGCUAGAAAUGGAGCAAUCAGGACUUGGGUACCUCCAUAAGUCAAGCAUUUGGUAUCUUAAGUUCAACAAGAAAAGGUCAGGAUAAAGGAUCAGGCACAAGUGUGAAGGAGCCUCCUAGAGAUUCAACUUUCAAGAUGGAAAGGACACCACAACAUGGUAAAGGUACAAAAGGAAGUAUUAAUCUUUUUCGUAUAUGUAUCUAAAUGCUUGUGGUGCAUACGUUUAAUGAGUAAGGGGGAGUAUUGUUAGUGUGUUUUUCCUCCUGAGUACCCUGCUGUCCCUUGACAUCAUCCUAUGUUCUUGCUUGAAUAUGGUUUUGGUGUUUGAUGUCAAAGGGGGAGAAGUUGUGCAUUAAAGCUUAGGGUUCUUUGAGUUCCCUUGAUCUUAAGGAAGGAUGUGUUAGUUUGUUGUUAUAGAUAAUUUGUUGUUAUAGAUAAUUCUUAUCAUAUGCUUCUUGUUGUAGUAUAUGGUGAUAAGGUGAACUAGAGCUUCCAUUGAUAUGAAUUAAUUGGCAUCUAUUGUGUGUAUUCUAUAAUAGAUUCAUGUGGUUAAUGGGUUAACGAUGCUUUAAAAUUGCUUUAAAUUGGUAUCUUAGUUUAAAUUGGUAUCUUAAUGGUGAAUAGUGGUAGGUUGAUAUUCCUGUGAUAUAUCCUCUCAUUUGAUUAGUGUUUAACUCUGAUUCUGUGCAUUUGUGUGUUAUACGCAUCAUGGUUUGAUCCUUGACACAAUGCAUCCCACAGGUGCUAAGGUGUAGCAAUGCUUCGAUUUAGCCUAAGUAUGUGCACAUUGGCAUUUAAGGCCAAAAUUAUGAUGUUAGUGUAUGCACAUAUUUAGGGGGAGCAUUCUAUAGACUUAGAACUCAAAAUUUGUGCUUUAAAUUUCACUCUUAUGUAAGCUUUAAUUGUGUUGCCAUCAAUCACCAAAAAGGGGGAGAUUGAAAGCUCUCUUGUGGGUUUUGGUGUUUGGAUGACAACUCAAUUAAAGAACUAACAAGUGUGCUAAGUGUUGCAGGUGCUUAAUGUAAAGCUAACAGGGUUCAACACAAGUGAACAAGUGUGAUGGUCCAAGGACUAGAUGAUGGAUAGAUAAUGGGCAUCACAAGUAAGAUGGACAUUGCAUAAAGUGAGACUCGGGUGCGUAGCUCGGAAACAACUGAUCAAGCCAAGGAUGGAGGCAAGAAGAGCUUCGAGGUACCAAGUGCAUGGGAGAAGGUCAAAGAGGCUGAGGAACCCAAAGCCAAGGGUGAAGAAGAAGACUUGCAAAGUCAAGGGUGAUCGAGUUGAGAAGAGCUAUGGCACAUCAAGGAUCACUACAUAAGGACAUGACUUACAACCAAUGAGGUAACAACUAUAGUUAUGUGGUGUAAGUCAUAAGGCUCAAGAUCAAGCUCUAAGAAGUGAACAAGGUCACUAGAAGGAGAACCAAUGUCAAAACCAGGACUGGAAGCAGCCCAAAAGAGCUAACUGCACCUUGAACUUUAGUUUGGGUUGUUCCUAUGUUUGGAGAUAUUCUAUGUGACCUUUGCAGGAUGUUGGAGCUCAAAAAUGUCAAUCUAGAUCAAGUCAAGCUGACUUGAUGAUUUAUGAGUCCAACAUCAAAGCUCGAGCAUGUCAAAUGCUAUAGAAGUAAAAAUCAAAGAGAAGGUAUGGUUCUAGACUUAGUACAUUGGUUUUCGUGUACUAAUAUAUUUGUCUAAGUGUUAGAAACAGAAAGAAGAAGAAAAGAAAAGAAAUGCAAAAGGCUUGGAUGUGUACAUCCAAGUCUCAGCUCAGUCUGGCACACCGGACAGUGUCCGGUGCGCCAGGCUGAACUCCGGUGAACAUGCCGCUCUCGGGAGAAGUCUGGCGACGUACGACUAUAAUUCACCGGACUGUCCGAUGGUGCACCGGACUGUCCGGUGAGCCAACGGUCGGCUGGGCCAACGGUCGGCCGCGCAAUCCGCGCGUGACGCUUGGGCGAGCCAACGGUCACAUGGGGGCACCGGACAGUGUCCGGUGCGCCAACGGCUCCAAGACUUCAACGGUCGACUGCGCCAAUUUUGGAAGGAAAUCGGGCACCGGACAGUGUCCGGUGGUGCACCGGACUGUCCGGUGCGCCACCCGACAGAAGGCAAGAAUUGCCUUCCUGGAUUGCUCUCAACAGCUCCUAGGCCCCUUGGGUCUAUAAAAGGGACUCCUAGGCGCCUCCAAUAGAGAUACAAGUGCAGCCAACAAGUGUAGACAUCACUCGGAUCAAUUCUCUCUCUCCCUCUCGUGUCUAUCUCUCUAGUUUGUGUAGAGGCAAAGCUAUAAGCCUUGAGAGAGUGGAGAAGUGCUGCUAAGAGCUAGAGCAAGGUCUUGAGCAUAUUGUUACUCUGCCGGAGUGCUGCCAAGAAGAUUGUAAGCAGCCGCGGUUUCGUUGUAACCAACUCAACAUAGUGAAAGGCUCUAUCUGUCAUACUGAUAGAUCUGAGCAUACAGAGGAAGGAGUUGAAACAUACUCCAAGCCCAGGUGUGGCUAACUCCAACGAGGACUAGGCAAGCAUUUUAGGCUUGGCCGAACCUCGGGAUAAAUCCUUGCGUCUGUGUGCUCUGUUCUGUAUUGCGUCCUGACUCUUUGUCUUACUUGCUUUUAUAUUUGCACUUCAACACUUAUCUUUGGUACAAGUUACAUUUGAAGUGCAGGACAUUUUGAGACAGGAUCUUCUAUUCCGCUGCAACCUACUCGAAGGGUCUUCUCAUUCCACUGCGUUCUAGUCUUCGAGUAGAGUAAGAAUUUAAAUUUUAAAGUGAUAAUUUUGAUACGCCUAUUCACCCCCCCCCCCUCUAGGCGACAUCCAGAUCCUGUUCCCGGGCCAAAGGGAACUUUCACUAUUCAGGCGGCCCUCACCACCAAGCCAUCGGUGACCUCUUCUCCGCAGGCGAACUCAAAGCCUGAGGAAGACCUCGCGAUACCCACGAACGAAGCUCAAGCCGUGACCUCUAUGCGGCCGACCGAAGAAACCAAAAGAAUCAACCUCGGGUUCGCCGAUGAACGCAAGACCGCCAUCAUCAGCUCCAGCCUGGAUGACAAAUAGGAAGGCGCGCUCGUCCAGUUCCUGCAAGAUAACCGAGACGUAUUCGCAUGGCAACCUGCGGAUAUGCUGGGAGUCCCAAGAAAACUGGCCGAGCACAAACUGAAGGUCUAUCCCCAGGCGAGGCCGAUCCGACAAAAAUUACGUCGCUUCACGCCCGACAAGAGAGAAGCCAUCCGUGUUGAGCUGGCUCGCUUAGUCGCGGCUGGAUUCAUUAGAGAGGUGUUACAUCCUGAGUGGUUAGCCAACCAUGUUCUUGUACUCAAAAAGAAUAAAGUGGAUUGGCGCAUGUGCGUUGACUAUACAGAUCUCAACAAACACUGUCCGAAGGAUCCCUUCGGACUUCCUAGAAUAGACCAGGUGGUGGACUCAACCGCCGGAUGUUCCGUGUUGUCGUUCUUGGAUUGCUACUCUGGGUACCACCAGAUUAGCUUGGCAAAAGAAGACGAGAACAAAACUGCGUUCAUCACCCCGUUCGGAGCCUUCUGCUAUACCUCCAUGCCGUUUGGCCUCAAAAACGCUGGAGUGACUUAUCAGAGGGCUAUUCAGACAUGCUUAGCCGAUCACUGGCGCAAGUGUGUGGAAGCUUAUGUGGAUGAUGUGGUAAUCAAGACAGAGAAUUCAGAAAACUUCAUUGAAGAUUUACAGUUGGUCUUCAACAGUCUACGGCGAUACAGAUGGAAGCUUAAUCCCGAAAAAUGUGUCUUCGGAGUACCAGCAGGAAAGUUGCUCGGGUUUAUUGUCAGUCACCGAGGAAUUGAAGCCAAUCCAGAAAAGAUCGAGGCUAUCAUGAGGAUGGAAGCAUGUCACACCCGGUUUUAGAAGGUAAACCGAAUGCGAACCAAGUACGUGCCAGGAUCAGUAAUUCACGUACACAGCGAUUACAUAAAUGACUCAUCAUAGCACAAUGCUUCGAAUUACAAUAAAGAGUAAGUAAUACUAUUACAGACUAGAGCCAUUUACACAAUAUAAAUCAAAGUACACAGAAUCGAAACGUAGCCAACGUAAACAACCCACCACAGGCAGCUGACUGGGGGAGGUCGCUAGCCUAAUCCUCGAAUUCAUCGACGUCCUGGAACUCCUGGAGAUCCGCCUUGACGCCUUCUUCUUUACCUGAGCAUAGAUUUGCACCAAAGGGAACCUAGUGUUUUGUGAAAGCAAGGGUGAGUACACAUCAACGUACUCAGCAAAUGUCCUGUUUGGCUGUAGUGGACUAGCUUUAUGUGGGGUUAAGUCAAGCAGUUGCUUUUAGUUGAUCAGGUUAUUAUUACUAGUAGAAAGCCAGGUUUUAGCAUUAACCCAAGUUAUUAACCCAAAGUACCCUUUCCAAACGGAAAGAAUACCACUUACCAUUACCAAUAGCAUAAUCAUAACCAUCUUCCUCAUCAUCAUCUGUAAAUAAACCAUCUCUGAUCAAAUGUCUCUAAUCAAUGGAGCUCCCUUGGCCGCUCAUAACCGCGAGCACGGCUGAUAUAUCAGUUUCAUAACACUCUGCAGAGGUUGCGCACUUUACCCACAAGUCGUGAUUCCCUCUGUAGCCCGGGCUUGCAAGACCCUUGUUCACUCCCAAGGUGAAUGGCCAGGGAUUCACUACGAAGCCUUUACAAAGAUUCCCUGAGGCUGUAGCCGCCCGUUAGGUUUCCUAAAUGCACCGCACUCCUCCCCAAGGGGCGAACCAACCUUGGCAGAGCGAGCCGCAUACACCGAGCCCCAUUAACGGCACGACGGCGAAGCGAACUACACCCCAGUUCCUCUAAUUAUUCAGCUAAGGGCAUCCCAUUCCACCCUCAUGGUUACACGGUUUUUCCGGGCGGUCAUCCAACGAACAGGUCCUUACGGAGAGGCACUCGAGAAACAGCUCGAGUCCCCAUAAAUACCACAAGUAUAUCAUCAUAUCCAGAAUAAAACCAUAGUAUCAUCAUUGUAUCUCAUCAUGUUCAUUGAUUAAAGUAAAGCGCUAGCAUGAAGCUUACCAUAGUAACCCAAAAGGUAAUCAAGGACAAGGUAAAUAGAAAGCUAAUCAAUCCUUAGGUUGUUCAUAGUAUGCGGGACAGUGAAUUAUAAAGUAAAUGGGACAUAAUGGGUCAGAGGACACUUGCCUUCACCAAACAGAUGCCCAGGGUCUUCGAUCUCGUAGAGCUCGAAGAGCUAGAUCACUUGGUCGCCAAAGCUCGACCGUCGAUUCCUCGAAGCUCGGAAACGAACCAUGAUCUAAUCGCAACGCGAAGCGCAGACGAACCAGUACAAGAAAAGAAACAUAUAUAUGCAUAAGAACAUUACACCAUACAAGAUAAAACAUUAUAAAAACGUGCAGAAUAAAAUAGAGCUCGCUUCUACGGCCACACGAGGGAAAGAAACGCGUCGGUCGGAGCUACGGUCGAUAAGUUAUCGCGUUUACGCUAAACGAAUAUAAAAUAGGACAUUUAAUUUGGUAUUAUCAAAUAUAAAUUAUAACUACUAAAUAAUUAAAGUGAGAGGUUCUAAGCGGGGCGAAUUUACGAUGCGCGAAACAAUACAGCAGCGUGCAGACGACGUGCAGACAUGCGCGACAUAGCACACGAAUGCCGCACGAGACAGUGCGCGCGACGAGCGCGAACGAAGCGCGAACCAGCACGCCACCACAUGCGGGACAGCACGCGCGACAGACGAGUAAAACUAAAUAGGUGACGCGUUUAUACUAAACAAAUAUUAAAUACUUAUAAAGCAGUUAAGUUAAUACUGGUCAUAUUAAUAUUUAUUAUAAAAGCGCAGUUGAACACUACAUAUUUAAUCUAAUUAAAAUAUUAAUCUAAUAAAUAUUUGUCGAGUGAACCUUAAGUUAAUUAUCUAACAUAUUAGACCUGACGAAUUAGUGUUACUAACAUGAGUGCUUAUAAGCGAAAACAAUUUAUUAUCACGCGCACACGAUGUGCGACACACGUGAUCGACACGCGAGAUACGCGCGAACGACGUGCGGCAAGGUGCGUGACACACGCGAACGACACGCGACGACGUGCACAACUCACGAGAGUCGCUAACAGAUAUAGUGUUUAUACUAAGCACUUAUUAAUUAAAAACAUUUGAAUAGCCAUUAAUCACAUUAACUUGUAUUUAAAAAAGCGCAAAUAAAACUAUAACUUAGUUUUUAUUAGAUCUCCAUUUUAAUAAUCGAAGAUUAAACCAAUAAUUAGUUAACUACAUGAAACAUGUGUUACGAUAAAUUAAUAUUUUUAACGUGUACAUGAUAUUUUGUGAAGCUAACGAAACUGCAACGAAAUAAAUCGGACGUCUAACCCAUAUGGUAACUCGUAUUUAAUAACGUGCGGAUUAUAUGCAGUGGCGCAAUAUGACUGGCCAGAGCCAAGCCACACAGAGGCUUACGAAGUUGCAGACUCAAAAGAUCUAACGCGAGGCAGUUUCCAAGCAUGCGUAGGAAAAGAAUUUAAAGAUAACGCAACAGAGGCAUGCAAAAAGGAGAUGCAUGCCAUGCGAUGGACGCAUGGCGUGAGGAAUGUGUGGGAGACAAGCAUGCGGGCCCCACGAGCGGUUAUUUCUUCUUUCUCAUUCCAUCGGCUACGAGUCUAUGACGAGCAGCAGUUUUCUGUUCCUCCUUCCAUCGGCUAGGACGAGCGCGCAUGCACGAAGGCUAUGGGGAAGCGCUGCUCCAGCCGGGGCUAGCAGGCGGGGCGGGUGGCACCGGCCCGGUGGCCAUGGCCUGAUAGCGACGGCUCUAGUCGGGCUCUGGCGGGGCUAGUCGUUGACGCGACAGCAGCGUCCAUGGCCAGUGGGGCUCGCCGCACAUGGUCGGCGGAGGCAUGGGGCAGCACGGCUAUGACGGCUCCACGCGCAGGGGCCAGACGCCUGGGCGCGCUAACGCGCCGCCGCGCUGGCUGUCCGCCGCGCCGCGCCCUGCGCAGGAGUCGCGCAUCGGAGGGAAAGGGAGCCACGCAUGGGCUCGCCGGGAGGACACGAACUGCUCGGCCGGGGGCAGAGAGGGGAGGGAUGAGGUGGGGAAGGGAAAGCAGACUCACCACGACAGAGUUCGACGGUGAGUACCAUUCGGCGCUCUCGGCGACUCCUGCUGCGCGGCGACGAGCGAGAGAGAACCGGGGCGAGAGAAACCGAUGGGACGUGGGGAGGAAAUGGCACCGGGCUGACAGGCGGGUCCCACGUGUAGCGGCGGCGCUGGGCAACUGCCCACGCGCGCGGCAGGCACGGCAGGGCGGUUGGAGCUAGGCCGCGGGGAGGAAGGGAGAGGCACGCAAGGGCCUCGGCUGGGCUGGAUUUCUCUAGUUCUU
rnacentral:lncRNA from 1 species